rnacentral:lncRNA from 1 species
UGUAAAGGCUGAACCCACGGAUAAGAUCCCUCAAAUAACAGGUCCAAAAGAAGCCCAAACUGAAGCUUCAACAGAUACCCCAGCCUUUAUAACCAGCCUGCCCGGUAGUCCCAGCACCCCCAGUGAUGCUCCUGGUGUCACUGAAGUUGUACAGGAGUUGGAGCUUCCCAACCUUGUACCGGAGCAGCCAGUGGAGAUGGUGGUGGAUUUCAGCAUCACCCUGAUGAGGCCAGGGUACAGUGAACUCCUGAAUGACCCCGAUGACCUUGAAUACAAUGACCUUACACGCAAACUGCAGGACCAGGUAUGCUAUAUAGAGAGUUUGAUAGGAUCAGUUUGUUAAUCACAGGAAGCU